UGGGUAGGUAGGCUCACCUAGGCGACGAUCCCUAGCUGGUCUGAGAGGAUGACCAGCCACACUGGAACUGAGACACGGUCCAGACUCCUACGGGAGGCAGCAUG
rnacentral:rRNA from 1 species